rnacentral:misc_RNA from 1 species
GAUGAAGAACGUAGCGAAAUGCGAUAAGUAGUGUGAAUUGCAGAAUUCAGUGAAUCAUCGAAUCUUUGAACGCACAUUGCGCCCUUUGGUCUUCCAUGGGGCAUGCCUGUUCGAGCGUCAUUCAAACCUUCAAGCCCCGCUUGGUGUUGGGUGUUUGUCUCGCCUUUGCGUGUAGACUCGCCUUAAAAUAAUUGGCAGCCGGCGUAUUGAUUUCGGAGCGCAGUACAUCUCGCGCUUUGCACUCAUAACGACAGCGUCCAAAAGUACAUUUUACACUCUUGACCUCGGAUCAGGUAGGGAUACCCGCUGAACUUAAGCAUAUCAAUAAGCGGAGGA